UUACCAACUCCAGACACCUCCCAGCCUCCCUCCUCCUCCCUCCUCUUUCCCUCCUACCCUCUCUCUUGGCCCCGCCCCCGCCCCGCCCCCGCCCCGCCCCAUCCCUUCACGCGUUGGAUGACCCCGCCCCUCGUGCUCCUGGCCCCGCCCCCUACCUGGAGGAGCUGCCUGCUGCGAGUUCCGGACAGUGGCUGCCCGGACCGGAAGUGUGGUGUUGCCAUGGCGAGGACCGAGCGCCGGGCCCGCCCCCAUGGUGGCGGUGGCAGCGGCCGGGCGGACAGACGGACGGACACACUGCACGAGUUGAUGUCAGGCCAGGCGAGGGCGCGGGAUCCUGGGAGGAGGAUUUGUUAGGCUUGCCUUCUCUCUCUCCUGUCUAGGCAGUGAGGCAGGCCUGGGCUGGAUUGGGCUGGCUGGAGGCUCUUUGCCAUGGUAAGUGUGGAAUUUUCAGUGCUUUCUUGAGCAAUGUGUGGCCGUAGCACUAGGGACUGGAAUUAGGCAGAGGGCUGGUGCCUGGCAAGGAGGUUUGGGGGGACCAGCUGGAAGGGGAGCUGACAAACGAAGGCUAGGUAGGGGUGAGCAUGGCUAGAAUAGAGCUGAUCAGUCAAGAGACCUGAUGAGCAGCCACACUCAAAAGAAGGGAGCAUCACCUUCUUUCCUUUGCUCACCCUGGGAAGGAAGCCAGGUCCAAAGUUUUAUGUGACAAGUCUAAAGGACUGGUUUGUGGUGGCAGGGGAUGGGUAGGUAGGCUCUUCUGCAUGAUAAUGUUGUUUUGGUCCUAGGUCCUAGGUCCUAGAGUCUUUGUCUGUGGUGUGUGAUUGGUAACCUUUCUUAGGGACAGGAAGGGUGCUGUUUGGUUUUUUUUUUAAUCAUUUUUCUUUUUUUUCUUUAUUCCUUUAAUAUUUUAUUUUUCUUCUGUUACAUGUAAACACAAUUUUUAACAUUUGUUUUUAAAACUUUGAGUUCCAAAUUCUCUCCCUUCCCCCCCA
rnacentral:lncRNA from 1 species